GGUUUCCGGUUUUCCGACCCUACCUAGCUUUUGGACGUCGAAAUCCCGACCCUAAACUUUUUUAUUGGAUCAUGCUUGUAAGUGUUUCCACUUAGAGGAAAAGUUUGUGGAAAAUUGAAAUUUGAGGCAAUAUUAGGGAAAUUUAUCUUUGGAUGUGGAAGCACUGACUAAACAAAAUGGCGUCCGCUUGUUCGGAAAAAUAAAAAAAAGUUUAAAAAAAAAGUUAAAACCGACCUACCUUACCUAAGUUUUUAUAAGAAGAAACCGAAAACCCACAUAUUUUUUUUUGGCCCAGGCAGCGUGGAGUGUGAGAAGGGCGCUGCAAGGGUGCUGCAUGUCAAUUGUCAUGUCAUCUCCAAACUUAACAAUAUUUUCUCCUUCAGUGCAGAUAUAAAUGCAACGUUCAGGUCAUAUUUUGUCCCCAGCUCCAAGGACCAUUUUAAGGGAACUUGGAUGAUCUGUGCAGGUCAAUUUAUGAGUCUGGAUCAUCCUAAAAUGUUAAAUGGAUUAUAAUUUUUUUUAAGUUGAACAGCGA